UACAGAGGUCUCAAGCGUUGUUCGGAUUCAUUGGGCGUAAAGGGUGCGUAGGUGGCGCGGUAAGUCGGGUGUGAAAUUUCGGAGCUUAACUCCGAAAUUGCAUUCGAUACUGCCGUGCUUGAGGACUGGAGAGGAGACUGGAAUUUACGGUGUAGCAGUGAAAUGCGUAGAGAUCGUAAGGAAGACCAGUGGCGAAGGCGGGUCUCUGGACAGUCCCUGACACUGAGGCACGAAGGCCAGGGGAGCAAACGGG
rnacentral:rRNA from 1 species